CUUCGUGACAAUUACCAUCAAUACAAUGCAGUGAAAUAAUGACAACAUCAUUUUGAUCGCCAUUACGAGCAUCAUCAGGCUACAUCAUUUCUAGAAAUAUGCGGAACCAACAGGAUCAUGAUGUCAGACGAGUUUUGCUGGGUAAUGGUUCCAGUCUACCUAUAUAAACACCAGCGGCAUUGCUUAAAAAACAAUUGCAAACUUGACUUCUUCUACGCCACUGUAGCCGUAUAUGCUGCUGUUUCAUUAUCCGUCUGGACUCUGGAAGCCUUUUGCCAUUUCGACCGAGCUAUUAACGGUUGUCACUUGUCAGACUGCCCAACAGAAUCAUGGCCGAUAAAGCCGCUCGGGAUAAUCGUGCCAACCAGUGUAAUCCCAACCAUACGCCAACGGGACCUGGCCGCAACACCGGAUACCAUGGAGCCGGUACCAAGACCGACCUGAACAAUCACGCCAACCAGAUGAACCCCAAUAAUCCCGAAUAUAAAGGCGUCAACAAAGGUCAAAAGUGAACCAGGUUCGAAAGGAUACCGGAAUUACCUAAAAACUGGGCAACAUUUUCGUGGUGAAUUCUGCCCAAAUACUGCAGUGCGUUUUUCGAAUACUGCGUUUGUGUUUAUGCCGACGUUGUCGAAGUUUGGCUUCUGUUAUUUUUUUCUGCAACAACAAUUAAGAGUCAGCAAGUGAACUACCUCGUAUCUCGAAGCCGAUGUCAUUUUUACGUGCUGUUGUAACUGAAUAAAGCGUGCACAAGA